AUUGAACGCUGGCGGCAGGCCUAACACAUGCAAGUCGAGCGGAUGAAGGGAGCUUGCUCCUGGAUUCAGCGGCGGACGGGUGAGUAAUGCCUAGGAAUCUGCCUGGUCGUGGGGGAUAACGUCCGGAAACGGGCGCUAAUACCGCAUACGUCCUGAGGGAGAAAGUGGGGGAUCUUCGGACCUCACGCUAUCAGAUGAGCCUAGGUCGGAUUAGCUAGUUGGUGGGGUAAAGGCCUACCAAGGCGACGAUCCGUAACUGGUCUGAGAGGAUGAUCAGUCACACUGGAACUGAGACACGGUCCAGACUCCUACGGGAGGCAGCAGUGGGGAAUAUUGGACGAUGGGCGGAAGCCUGAUCCAGCCAUGCCGCGUGUGUGAAGAAGGUCUUCGGAUUGUAAAGCACUUUAAGUUGAGAGGAAGGGCAGUAAGUUAAUACCUUGCUGUUUUGACGUUACCAACAGAAGAAGCACCGGCUAACUUCGUG
rnacentral:rRNA from 1 species